rnacentral:lncRNA from 10 species
CCUCAGCUAUUAGAUUAUGGCAGAAGUAAUGCUGUGUGACUUCUCAGCCAAAGUCCUAAGAGCAGAACAGCUUCUGCCUGGAUCUCUCACUCUAGCUAUCAUGAAGCUUCUCUAUUACAUGGAGAUAGAGAUCUGCUGAAGGAGCCCCAGCUGUUGGUAUUUUCCAGGCCAGGCACCAGUCAUAUGAGUAAGCCAGCCAUCAGACAACUUAGCCCCAGCCACUGUCUGCCUGCAACUGCACAAGAGAGCUGAGUGAAAACAAUCUUGCUGAGUUCAGUCAAGCUCCAGAAAUGUACGGGGUAAUUCUCAUCCAAUCAGUUGAAGACAUUAAGGAAAAGACUGAUAUUCCUGAGAAAGAGGAAAUUCUGCUAGCAGAUGGCCUUUGGACUCAAACUGCAACAUCAAUUCUUCCCUGGGUCUCUAGCCUGCUGACCUAACAUACCCCUCAAAUUUUGGACUUGCCAGCCUCUACAGUUGUGUGAGCCAAUUCCUUACAUCUCCUCCUCUCCCCUCACUCCAUCUCUCUCUAUCUGGUCGGCUUUGUGUAACACCACGAAAAUAAAACAAUACUUUCCUGUCUUC